AUUGAACGCUGGCGGCAGGCCUAACACAUGCAAGUCGAGCGGAUGAUGGUAUCUUGCUUCUGGUUUCAGCGGCGGACGGGUGAGUAAUUCCUAUUAAUCUGCCUGCUAGUGCUGGAUAACGUCCGUAAUCGGGCGCUAAUACCGCAUACGUCCUGAGGGUGCUCGUGGGGGUUCUUCUGCCCUUUCGCUUUCAGUUGUUCCUAGGUCGUCUUAGCUAGUUGGUGGGGUAAAGCUCUACCAAGGCGACGAUCAGUCACUCGUCUUAGAGGAUGAUCAGUGACACUGGAAGUGAGACACGGUCCAGACUACGACGGGAAGCAGCAGCGGGGAAUAUUGGAAAAUGGGCGAAAGCAUGAUCCAGCAAUGCCGCGUGUGUGAAGAAGGUCUUGGGAUGGUAAAGCACUUUAAGUUGGGAGGAAGGGCAGUAAGUUAAUAACAUGAUGUAAUGACGUUACCAACAGAAUAAGCACCGGCUAACUUCGUG
rnacentral:rRNA from 1 species